AUGGCUCCCACCUCCUCCUGGUCGAUCCUCGUCGCCGUUGGUGUGGCUCGUCGCCUCCCGUCCGUGUGGAUGCGCCCAUGGUGGCAGCAGCUGUAGGAGAGGGGGAAGAGAUCCUGCUCUCUCUUUAUUCACUUGACAACCGCGGAUGGGGAGGAUGCGGGUGGGGUGAAUUACAUGGAGAAUGGAGUAGGCGGCAAGCUCCACAAAGGGGAUGAGGGGCGUGGGGCUGAAGGUAUGGUUCGCUACAGCGGUGGUGACACGGAACCUACCACGCCCACCGGAUCUCGGUUGUUGCUCUCUCUCGAUCUGUUCGAUACUCAGUUGUUUCUUUACUCUCCAUCCAGAUCCUGCACAGGCGCCUUGGGCUGGUGAGGUCGCUGGUGUUGGCAACGAUGCUGCAGAUCGGGUUGCACCUCUUUGUCACCUGGAGCUUCCCCGAGGUGCCCGGUACUAUCAAUAGUGUCUCUUUCUGUUCUUAUUACUGCUGCACAAAGCUGUUGAGCUUGGUCGUUUUCCUUUCUAGGUUGUGUUUGCAUACCAGGACACACAUCGCGUUGACUUGGUCAGCUCCUUGGUCAUCAUCUGGUCCAUCACCGAGC
rnacentral:lncRNA from 1 species